CCCCGAGCUGAGUGGAGCUCUUUUUCUGUGAUUGCGGGUGCAGAAUAGUUCUACUGACGGAUUCCCGUCGAUAGCAUUCACAGAAAAAAGCGGGAACGGAGCGCGGAGAAGGUG
rnacentral:sRNA from 1 species